CUGCGAGACAGACACGUCGAGCAGGUACGAAAGUAGGUCUUAGUGAUCCGGUGGUUCUGUAUGGAAGGGCCAUCGCUCAACGGAUAAAAGGUACUCCGGGGAUAACAGGCUGAUACCGCCCAAGAGUUCAUAUCGACGGCGGUGUUUGGCACCUCGAUGUCGGCUCAUCACAUCCUGGGGCUGAAGCCGGUCCCAAGGGUAUGGCUGUUCGCCAUUUAAAGUGGUACGCGAGCUGGGUUUAGAACGUCGUGAGACAGUUCGGUCCCUAUCUGCCGUGGACGUUUGAGAUUUGAGAGGGGCUGCUCCUAGUACGAGAGGACCGGAGUGGACGAACCUCUGGUGUUCCGGUUGUCACGCCAGUGGCAUUGCCGGGUAGCUAUGUUCGGAAAAGAUAACCGCUGAAAGCAUCUAAGCGGGAAACUUGCCUCAAGAUGAGAUCUCACUGGGAACUUGAUUCCCCUGAAGGGCCGUCGAAGACUACGACGUUGAUAGGCUGGGUGUGUAAGCGUUGUGAGGCGUUGAGCUAACCAGUACUAAUUGCCCGUGAGGCUUGACCAU
rnacentral:rRNA from 1 species